GGAUCUCUUGGCUCUCGCAUCGAUGAAGAACGCAGCGAAAUGCGAUACGUAAUGUGAAUUGCAGAAUUCAGUGAAUCAUCGAAUCUUUGAACGCACCUUGCGCCCCUUGGGAUUCCGAGGGGCACACCCGUUUGAGUGUCGUGAAAACCUCAACCUCCUUGGUUUCUUCUGGAGACCAAAGCAGGCUUGGACUUUGGAGGCCUUUGCUGGCACCUCUCUUUUUGAAGGCCAGCUCCUCUUAAACAAAUUAGCAGGGUCCUCUUUGCUGAUCCUCGACGUGUGAUAAGAUGUUUCCAUGUCUUGGUUUCUGGCUCUGUCACCUUUGGGACCUGCUUCUAACUGUCCGGACCUUGCGUCGAGACAACGUUCGAGCAUGUGCCUCCCUUCUUGGGAAGCUCCCUCGACCCCACGAACCCUUGACCUCAAAUCGGGUGAGACUACCCGCUGAACUUUAAGCAUAUCAAUAAGCGG
rnacentral:rRNA from 1 species